rnacentral:rRNA from 1 species
AUACGGAGGGGACUAGCGUUGUUCGGAAUUACUGGGCGUAAAGAGUUCGUAGGCGGAUAAGCAAGUAAGAGGUGAAAGCCCAGGGCUCAACCUUGGAACUGCCUUUGAUACUGGCGAUCUCGAGUCCGGGAGAGGUGAGCGGAAUUCCUAGUGUAGAGGUGAAAUUCGUAGAUAUUAGGAGGAACACCAGUGGCGAAGGCGGCUCACUGGCCCGGUACUGACGCUGAGGUACGAAAGCGUGGGUAGCAAACGGGAUUAGAUACCCUAGUAGUCC